AUUGAACGCUGGCGGCAGGCUUAACACAUGCAAGUCGAGCGGGGUGAUGGUGCUUGCACUAUCACUUAGCGGCGGACGGGUGAGUAAUGCUUAGGAAUCUGCCUAUUAGUGGGGGACAACAUCUCGAAAGGGAUGCUAAUACCGCAUACGUCCUACGGGAGAGAGCAGGGGAUCACUUGUGACCUUGCGCUAAUAGAUGAGCCUAAGUCGGAUUAGCUAGUUGGUGGGGUAAAGGCCUACCAAGGCGACGAUCUGGAGCGGGUCUGAGAGGAUGAUCCGCCACACUGGGACUGAGACACGGCCCAGACUCCUACGGGAGGCAGCAGUGGGGAAUAUUGGACAAUGGGGGGAACCCUGAUCCAGCCAUGCCGCGUGUGUGAAGAAGGCCUUACGGUUGUAAAGCACUUUAAGCGAGGAGGAGGCUCUUUUGGUUAAUACCCAAGAUGAGUGGACGUUACUCGCAGAAUAAGCACCGGCUAACUCUGUGCCAGCCGCCGCCGUAA
rnacentral:rRNA from 1 species